UUCAGUAAGAUUUGUCACUCG
rnacentral:piRNA from 1 species